rnacentral:rRNA from 1 species
UACGUAGGGGGCAAGCGUUGUUCGGAAUUACUGGGCGUAAAGGGCGCGUAGGCGGCACGGCAAGUCGGGAGUGAAAGCCCGGGGCUCAACCCCGGAGGGUCUCUCGAGACUGCCGAGCUAGAGUGCGGAAGAGGCAACCGGAAUUCCCAGUGUAGCGGUGAAAUGCGUAGAUAUUGGGAGGAACACCGGUGGCGAAGGCGGCGACCUGGGUCGACACUGACGCUGAGGCGCGAAAGCGUGGGGAGCAAACAGG